UACGUAGGGGGCUAGCGUUGUCCGGAAUCAUUGGGCGUAAAGCGCGUGUAGGCGGUCCGGUAAGUCCGCUGUGAAAGUCGGGGGCUCAACCCUCGGAUGCCGGUGGAUACUGUCGGGCUUGAGUACGGAAGAGGCGAGUGGAAUUCCUGGUGUAGCGGUGAAAUGCGCAGAUAUCAGGAGGAACACCAAUUGCGAAGGCAGCUCGCUGGGACGUUACUGACGCUGAGACGCGAAGCGUGGGGAGCAAACAGG
rnacentral:rRNA from 1 species